UUUCUCCCCCCUCGUCCCCCCUCAGAGUUCAGACCAGAUCCAGAUCCAUGUCUCACAGGCCUCGUUUCCCCAGAACCAGAACCAGCUGCAGGUCCAGUCCUCUGUCUCCCAGCCUCCGUCCCCCCCACAGCCUGAUCCCCCGUCUUCAGGUCUCUCCACAGGAGGAGACCCCCCCCCUGUCCAACAGCACACACAACACAAGCCAACAGCUGCCUUGCUCGUGGAGCCUGAAGCGUUUCCUCUCCAGCCGUCAUCUCCUGCAGCCUGGGGUCAUGGUCAGGGUGAUGGUCAGUGUCAGGGGGCCCCAGAGCCCAGAGAGCGGACCCCCACCCUGAGGAGCCUGCAGACCUGCACCAAGCCUGCAGAUCCUCCACAGAGAGAGAAUCUC